CCGAUCUUUUGCUCAAUCCAGUAUCUCCGAUCCGAGUCCGAGCCAGGAAGAGAGCAGCCCGAAGUUCCGCCGACGUCGCCGUGUCGAUGACGUGUGCUCCGUCGCUGGAAGACUCUCCAUGAGGCGCUGCUGCUGCUCCUCCCUCCCCUCGCCUCUCGCCGCCGCCGCCUCCGCCGCCGCAAGCUCCGCCAUGUACCCUCGUCCCAAGUACCGUGGUGGUAGAUAUCCAUCUCAAAGGAGCUUCUCUGACUCCUCGCGCGGUGGUGGAAGAGGGCGAUUUUCAAGUGGUGAGUCCAAUGUCCACCCAGUCCAAGAUAGAAACCGAGGAUUCCAGCAAGGAGCAAGGGCUGACUUCGUCUCCGGUGAUUCUCACUUCCAUGCUGUCCAGGAUGCCAAUCGUGGAUUCCGACAAGGAGAGAUCGGUGAUUCCGCCAUCCAGGCUGGGUAUCGGCCUCCAGUCAAUUCAAGAAGGCAUUUUGUUCAGAGCCAGUCAUACGGGUUAUCCUCUGGUUACAGUCAUGAUACACAAUUCCACCAUCCCCGGCACUAUAAUCAGGGUCAAAGUAUACAGCAAUCCCGGCAAUAUAGUCAAAAUCCACAGUUUCAGCCGCAACGGCCAUCAAAACAAAAUCAGCCAUUCAGGAGACCUCCACAAUCUGAUUGCAGUUUAGCUGCUCGGACAUCAGAAGAGCAAAGGUCUAGACCGCAAAGACCUCCUGACUUUCGAAUUUGGGAAUAUGCGAAAAGAGAGCCACCUUCUGACUGUGAGCGGUUUGUUAUUCUGUCAUACAACAUAUUGGCUGACUAUCUUGCAAUAAACCAUCGAAGCAAACUCUACUAUCAUAUACCUCGCCAUAUGCUGGAUUGGCAGUGGAGAAAGAGAAGUAUCUUAUUUGAGCUUGGAUUAUGGUCUGCUGACAUAAUGUGCUUUCAGGAGGUUGAUAAAUUUCACGACCUGGAGGAGGAGUUAAAGCCACGAGGAUACUGUGGCAUUUGGAAGAUGCGGACUGGAAAUCCAGUUGAUGGUUGUGCAAUCUUUUGGCGUGCUUCAAGGUUCAAGUUGCUUCAGGAAGAAUGCAUUGAGUUCAACAAGUUGGGGCUUCGGGAUAAUGUUGCUCAGAUAUGCGUGCUUGAGCUAUUGAGUGAAAAUGGGACUGGAAAUACAGCACAUCAAUCCGCCAGUUCAGCAGGUUCUAGAAAGAUCGUGGUCUGUAACAUUCACGUGCUCUACAAUCCUAAAAGAGGAGAAAUAAAGCUUGGUCAGAUAAGGGUUCUUCUGGACAGGGCUUAUGCUGUCUCCCGAGCUUGGGCUGAUGCUCCUGUUGUUCUUUGUGGAGAUUUCAAUUGUACUCCAAAGAGUCCUCUAUACAACUUCAUAUCUGAACAGAAGUUAAGUUUGUCUGGACUAGAUAGAGAUAAAGUAUCUGGUCAAGCCUCUGCAGAAAUUCGUCCAACAAUACCAGAUAGUCAAAACACUCGUGGUCAACCUCAGUUCCGGGUGAACUACAAUAAGCUAAAAGAUUCUACCUUGGAUGAGCAGAAGCAGAGGAACCAAGAUAACGAUAAGGAAAAUUCUCUUAAUGUGUCUGACCCAUCUCAGCAUAGGUGUACGGACAGUGAUCCAGCAUCCCCUGCUAGUUCUUGCACAAACAGGCAGGGUGCAAGUGAUGACAGCAAACUAAAUUAUGAACUGGGAAAAGACUCUGAACAGAAUCCAGCAGAUGAUGCUGCAAAUGAAAAUGGAUUACCUUCUGAUACUUAUUUGGACAAAGAACCAAACUCAAAUACUUUGGUUGGGGGAACUGUGUUUCCUCUCAAUGAUGUCAAUUCAGGCGAAGAUAAAUGUAAUUUUCAGAUGGCUUCUUCAUGUGUCACUGAGCUAUCUGAUCUAGAUAAUUUGCAAGCAAAAGAUUGCACGGAUGUUCUACCAACAUCUUCCUUUACAGGCGAAGACUGUACUAGGGUUGCUAUAGAUGUUGAAUCUCUAGAUUCAAAUGAUGCAAAGAUCACUUCGUUUGUGUUGUCAAGCCAAAAGUCUACUUCUGAUGAUGCAGAAACCGCUUCAUCAGAAGUUGCAGGGCAUGUAAUAUCUCCAUCAGUCAAUGACAAACAAGAUAAUCCUUCAACCUCACAUGGUGAGUUACUUGGGGAUACCGUGGAUGCAAUAAUAGAUGAGGAACUGAAGAAUUUAUCUCUAUAUGAGCCAGAAGAAUCUAGCACGGAAGUUGGAUGUUCUUAUGAGGAUGAUGCCACAUUCUUAUCUGCAUUACACAGCGUAGAAGGUGCAGAUUCCUCUCCUGGUAGUCGAAUUGUCAAGGAAUUUUCAUCUGGUUUGGAUUUUGAGCCUGUUGAAGGGGAGAUCUCUACUUAUGAUCCUUCAUUGUGGACACCAAUGGAGAUAGCUACAGCUACUGGCAGUGCAGAUUGUCUUUUUUUGGAGCAUCCCCUCAAACUUAAGAGCACAUAUGCAGAAGUAGAGGAUUCUUCUGGGACUAGAGACACAAAUGGGGAACCCAUUGUCACCAGUUACAAUCGAUGCUUCUUGGGUACAGUUGACUACAUAUGGCAUUCCGAAGGUCUGCAGACGACAAGGGUGCUUGCUCCUAUACCCAAACAGGCUAUGCAAUGGACAACAGGGUUCCCAACCAAGAAGUGGGGUAGUGAUCAUAUUGCCCUAGUUUCUGAAUUGGCGCUUGCAAAGGGUGCAGCCGAUCAAAGGAAUGAAGUUCAGUAAUAGACCAGCCUUUGGCACCUGAGAGUUGUGAAGACAUCUGAUUUAUCUUCGGCUCUGCAGCAUUUAGUUUCGGUGUUGGAGUUCAUUCCUGACUGUUUCAGUUGCAUAAGAAGAGUUCCUGAAGCUGGAAUGAAGGACAAGGAAUGUCUCAGGUCAAAAAGAAAUCUGCUUCAAAACUGAAAAACGUCUUCCAGGAAGCUCUGGAAGAAAAUCUUGUAGAUUUAUGUCAGUAUCUUUUCAUUAGAUGCAUUUAACAGCCGAUGGCAUCUGCAGUUCUUCUGGUCGACUGUUUUGCCGUCAUAUAAUUUAGUGUCAAUCAACUCUUCCUCUGCACAUAUCUCUGUAUUAAGACUUUCUCACCUGGGAUCGAGGGCUUUGUGGCCCAUGGGUAUCUCGAAGUAGCAUCCAUAUGACCCAUUUUUAUCUGUGCAACUUGUAGGUUAGGCUUGGAAAACUAGCUUUCCUCAGUUAUUGUGAAGCCCAUCUCUCUGGAAUGUACAUUUAAGAAGCUUUGUCUCAUGUAUUGCAUGCAAAUGUUUAAUUUGGUUUA